rnacentral:lncRNA from 1 species
UGAUUUAGAAAACAUUUCCUGGUUUUGAACACUUAACAAUACAGCCUCUAAGCAUGUCAAACAUUGAGGUGGGGAGAUUUGCUAUGGGAAGGCCAAGAGGAUAAACUCAGAUGGUGGGUCUGUAAUUGCUUGCUUUUUUCUUUAAUGAUCUUAGCUUUUCAUUAUAACUUUAAUGAUCUUAAUCAUUAAUGGCUUUAUUUAUUUAUUUAAGAUUGACUUUUAAAUUUUUGUUGACUAUUCUAGGUUAAUUGCACAUUAAUAGGGUUCAAUAUAUUUUAAUACAUGUUUACUGCAUGCACUGAUGAAAUUCAGCCUCCUUCUGAGCGUCUAGUUAUCAUUAUUCUACAUUCAGGUUGGCUUUUUUUUUUUAAACUUCUAUAUAUGAGAGAGAACAUGUGAUACUUAUCUUUCUGUGUCUUCCUUCACACGAUGUCCUCCAAUUCCACCCAUUUUGCUGCAAAAUAAGAUUCCAUUCUUUCUGUCUGAAUAAUAUUUCACAUUUUUCUUUAUCUAUCCAUCUGUUGAUGAGCACCUAGGCUGAUUCCAUGUCUUAGCUAUUGUGAACAAUGCUGCAGUAAAUGUGGAUGUGCAGGUAUCUCUUUAGUGUGCCCAUUUCAUUUCCUUUCUAUAUAAGUCCAGAAGUGGGAUAGUUGGAUAACAUAGUAGAUCUAUUUUUAGCUUUUCUGAGGAAUUUCACACUGUUCUUCAUAAUGGUUGUACUAAUUUAUAUCCCCAUUAACAGUCCUCACCAGCAUUUGUUAGUUUUUGAUAAUAACCUUUCCAACCGGGAUGAGAUGAGGUAUAUCAUUGUAAUUUUGAUUUGCAUUUCCCUGUUGGCUAGUGAUUUUGAGCAUUUUUCAUCUAUUUAUUGACCAUUUGUAUUUCUUCUGAAUAAUAGAAGAAAGUGUCUAUUCAGAUCAUUUGCCCAUUUUUUGAUUGGGUUACUAGUUGUUUCGUUGCUAAGGUUUUUGAGUUUCUUGUAUUCUGGAUAGUAAUUCUUGGUCAGAUUGCCAAAUAGUUGGCAAAUAUUUUUUCCCAUUCUGUGGGUUGUCUCUUCCCUCUGUUAAUUGUUUCCUUUGUACAGAAGCUUUUUGGUUUGGUAUAAUCCUACUAGUCUAUUUUUGUUUUGGUUUCCUAUGAUUUUGGGGUCAAAAUUUUAUUGCCUAUAUCAAUGUCUUGAAGAAGUGUUUCCCCAAUGUUUUCUUCUAGUAGUUUCAGACUUACAUUUAGGUCUUUUAUCCAUAUAAGCUGAUUUUUCUAGGGUGAGAGAUAGGGGGUCAAAUCUCAAUCUUCUGUGUAUGGGCAUCCAGUUUCUCCAGCACCUUUCCUCAGAGACUGUUCUUUGUCCAAUGUAUGUUUUUGGUGAUUUUUUAAAAAAUCAGUUGGUUGUAGAUGCCUACAUUUAGUCCUGGGUUCUCCUUUCUGUUCCAUUGAGUCUGUGUCAUGGUAUUUAUGUGAAUACUAUGCUGUUUUGGGUUACUAUAGACCAUAGUAUGUUUUGAAAUUAGGUAUGGUAGCACUUCUAGCUUUUUUCUUUUUGUUCAAGAUUGCUUUGGCUAUUUGGG